CCUGGUGAUAUUAGCGCUGUGGAACCACCCGAUCCCAUCCCGAACUCGGAAGUGAAACGCAGCUGCGCCGAUGGUAGUGUGGGUUUCCCAUGCGAGAGUAGGUCAUUGCCAGGG
rfam:Xylella fastidiosa PLS229 contig00040, whole genome shotgun sequence.